CGAUGAAGGGGAGGAGCUCUCCCGGCUCCGGUGACACCGUCACCAAGGCAACGCGGCCAUACUGGCCCCAACGGACCUGGGGCCUGGGCUGCGGCGGCGCGGCCUCGUGGGCAGAGCCGGCGGCAUGGACAGCCUCUUCGUGGAGGAGGUGGCAGCCUCCCUGGUCCGGGAGUUCCUCAGCAGAAAGGGCUUGAAGAAGACAUGUGUGACCAUGGACCAGGAACGCCCACGAUCUGACCUCAGCAUAAACAGCAGAAAUGAUCUCCGCAAGGUUUUGCAUCUUGAAUUUCUCUACAAGGAGAACAAGGCCAAGGAUAAUCCUCUAAAAACAAACCUUGAACUCAUUACCAGAUACUUUCUGGAUCACUUUGGAAAUACUACUAACAAUUUCACUCAAGAAGUGCCAAUCCCUGCACUCCCAGUUCCAAAGAAAAAUAACAGAUUAUCAUCAAGAUGCCCAGAGACCACACUGGUCAAUAUAUAUGACCUUGCGGACGAAGAUGCGACAUGGAAAUCGUCACUGUCAGAAACCAGCAAAGCCAGGCACGAUAAUCUCGAUGGGGAUUUACUUGGUAAUUUUCUAUCAUCCAAAAGGCCUCCCCACAAAAGUAAGCCCAUGCAGGCUAUCCCAGGUGAAAGCCCUGCCGUGGCCCCUGCAUGGGAGAAGAUGGACAAGCUUCAGUCGUCAGAGCCUUCCUUGGACACAAAGAGAAUGGGUGAGAAGAUCAGGCCGAAGUCUGGCCUGAUCGUCCGAGGCAUGAUGGCAGGGCCCAUUGCCAGUUCCCCGCAGGAUGCCCUCCGCAGACGCUCCCUGAGGCGGUCCUCAGCCUUGAGCAGCACGAAGCAGCCCUCCGAGGAAGAGAGCCGGAAAGUGCCCGAGCUCUCUGCCCAUGCCCCAGCCUGUCCCAUGGCUCAGGAGGGCCCGGCUUCCAGCCCUGGCUCCAUUUCCAGGAGCCCCCUGGGCCCGCUCAGUGAGCUGACCUCAGAAAAGUGGAGAACCACGCCCAGCAGCCCCCCUCACUUGUCUGGCAAGGGGCUGCUGCGGAGGGGGAGCAGCAGGCGGCGAGAUCUCGAGGAAGAUAGCCUGGCUGUGGACAGUGGCCCAGAGGCCGACGGGAUGCCCUUGAAGUUCUCCUUGCCAGGUGGGAGUGCCAGGCCAACCCAGGAGAGGCUGGAAAGAACAUUCACCAGGCAAGGGAGCCAGCCCCUGCCCCUCAGGAAAAAUCAGUUGCCAGCGUCCAACAAGGCUGAUGGCGAACUGAGUGUCCUCCAACUUGAGGAUGUGGAGGAUGAAUUGAUAAAGGAAGAAGUCAUCCUGCCUCCAGUCCCAUCGAUGCUCAAGCUGCAAAUAGUGUCAAAGCCAAUCGACCUCUCAGUGGCCAAGGACAUAAAGGCCCUUCUGUUUGGCUCCAGCCUUUGCUGUUUCAACGAGGAAUGGAAGCUUCAGAGUUUUUCCUUUAGUGACAAAGCCUCAUUAAGAUACGGCAUCGUGCAGAACAAGGGGGGUCCCUGCGGUGUUCUGGCAGCUGUCCAAGGCUGUGUCCUACAAAAACUCCUGUUUGAAGGAGAUAGUGAAGCUGACUGCGUUCGGCAGCUGCAGCCUUCCAGUGCCCGCAGGAGUCACUGCCUUGCCUUGGCCAUCGCGGACAUCGUGUGGCGGGCCGGGGGCCGGGAAAGAGCCGUGGUCACACUGGCUUCGGGAACACAGCAGUUCAGUCCAACAGGGAAAUACAAAGCAGAUGGAGUCUUAGAAACACUCACGCUGCACAGUUUGACCUGCUAUGAGGAGUUGGUGACUUUUCUCCAACAAAGCAUCCAUCAGUUCGAAGUGGGUCCCUACGGAUGCAUCCUCCUCACGGUGUCUGCCAUCCUGUCCAGGUCCAUGGAGCUUGUCCGCCAGGACUUCGAUGUCCCCACCAGCCACCUGAUUGGAGCACACGGAUACUGCACCCAGGAACUCGUCAAUCUGCUCCUGACCGGGAAAGCCGUGUCCAAUGUUUUCAACGACGUCGUGGAGCUGGAUUCUGGGAACGGGAACAUCACUCUGCUCAAGGGCAUUGGUGCGCGCAGUGACGUCGGGUUCUUAUCUCUCUUCGAGCACUACAACGUGUGCCAGGUGGGCUGUUUCCUGAAGACGCCGAGGUUCCCCAUCUGGGUGGUGUGCAGCGAGAGCCACUUCAGCGUCCUCUUCAGCCUGCAGCCAGAGCUCCUGCGGGACUGGAGGGCCGAGAGGCUCUUCGACCUGUACUAUUACGAUGGCCUGGCCAACCAGCAGGAGCAGAUCCGGCUGACCGUUGACACCACCCAGACCAUCCCUGAGGACAGAGACAAUGACCUCGUCCCACCCAUCGAGCUCUGCAUCAGAACCAGGUGGAAGGGGGCAGCGGUGAACUGGAACGGCUCAGACCCCAUCUUGUGACCCUUCCUGUGGGUCCGGAAGUGAGAAGACCCACAGCACGGCCACCACCUCUGCAAGAAUGAACCAGAGGCGAGUGCCUCCCUGCAGGUGGCUCUUCUCCACCCGAGGCACAGAGUUUUCUAAAGAGACUGUGGGUUCUUUGUGGCAGUGGCACAGUAAGAAGAGCAGCUUCCAGAAGAACCACAAGGAUUCCCUGGGGGUCAGAGCUGGGCCAAGGCUUUGUGGGGGCCCCGUGGAUGAUCCUCUCUGGUCACGGAGCCCUUUUGGGAGCCUAACCUUGCAGGAGGCCGUCAAACUGCCAAGCCUAUUUGCAGCCGCCUCUAGUGCUCUGCCUCCCUUCAGGACAGCCUAAGAGAUUCUGGAUUUGUCCAGCAUACUGCCUGAGGUCCUGAACCUUAACAUCCGUCUGAGGACCUGUGCACCCAGCUCUGGACAAAGCCUGAGGUUCUCCCACAGCAUCGGUGGGGCUAGAGUCCAGAUUGUCCUGGGAACAGCCAGCUCUGACUGGAAAGUGGGCCUCACUGGGCACGUCAGGAAUAAGGCACAUCUGGAAAAUCAUUUUCUGAGACCGUUGCUCUGGGAGGGCCAGACAGUGCCCGGGACUGAGUGGCUUCAGGCCCCGCCCAGGACUCAGGAGUCGGUGGGGAGGGCAGUCCCCCUUAUUUAGCCUGGCUCAGGCCUGUGGGAUCAGGCCUGGGCCCAUGCCACUGGCCAUGGGAGGGAGGGACUCGGUUGCUCACCGAGUCAGGUCACCCUGGAGGAGGAGCUGGUCAGGGGGCGGCACCCUGCCCCAGAGCCCAAGCUCCCGGGGCUGGUGGGACUACGCGGGGUGAGGGCGUAGCUCUGGCCUUCCCUGGCUUCCCUGUGCGUCCACUCUCAGCUCAAUGCUUCCUUCCCCAUCUGCCCCUCAUCCCACCCCAAUUAUACAGAGAAGUCGGGGACGGUCUUCUCAUUAUUACCCCCACGUCCCCGACCCAUCCUGGGGUCCGGAUCCCUCAGUCCUGUACUUGUAACUGGGCCAUCAAAACUCAGGAUUCCAUCUGGGAAACGGGGCCAUCAGGAGCCUUCCUUGACAGGCCGGCAGAGAACCAGACUGGGGUUCUGGGAAUUAGGGGGUCCUGAGUUCUAAUCCUAGUUCUGCCACCUUUUAGCAAAUCCCUUACCCUCGGAGCAUUCCAGGGUUGUGGUGGAGACAAGCCGUCAGCCAGGCACGGUUUCCUUUCUCCCCCCUUCCCUCCCUCUCUCCUCACCUCCCUUCCUUCCCUGCUUGGGCAGAAUUUGUGGCAGACCAGGGAGAAGAAGGUCAUGAGGUUCGUGGCCUUCCUGGAUCUGGGCUCCAGGGGCAGUCCUCUUCCUUUGACAUUGACAUUGUCAGGCCGAGGCUGCACAGGCCCCUUGGUAUUGUGGGAGAUGGUGGGUGAGUGAGGUGGGCCUUAUUCCAGAGAGGUCUGCCUUUGGAUGGUGUCUCCUGGUGAUGGCAGAGCCUUGCCCAAGGGAACAGAACAGUGGGCAGCAUGUAAGUCAGAAGCCAUGCUAAUAGGGGGACAGGGUUUGGUGUCCGGGGUAUUGUCCUGAGGACCCUCACAUCAUCCUGACAUUGGUGGGUAGCUGAUUUUCUCUGGCCAAAGUGUUUUGCCUCCUCUGGGUCCCCUGGGUCCAACCCUGCUCCGGAAGGAUGUGGGCCUCUAGCAAGUAUGUGCUCACCCCCGUGCCCGUGACAGUUGCAAGCGCCACCAGCCUGGGUGCACACAUGGAGCCUAUGGGAGGACAAGCAGCUAGGCUAUCUGGUUUAUGGCUGUCUCCCCAAAGAUAAGAACAGGAUGGCACAUGGCAUGCACCAAAUAAAUAUUUGGUGGACAAGUUAGGAUGUCCCACGUGACUCGCACCCACGUAGCACGUUGUGCGUCCUCAGCUACAUGGGUCCUGACCUGGCCCGUGGGCCCUGUCACGGGAGGGUCCUUUUUUUCUCUGAGGUGCUGUACCCCAACACUGGCCUGAGCCCAGUGGUCCUUGUGGGCCUGCUGCCAUCCCCAGGCGUCCAGGCGGAAUCCUUUUACCUGCCAGCAUCCCUCAUCCCUGCAGCAGGUGGGAGGCCGGGACAGAUGUGGGCCCUGUCGGGUCCAGGAAGCUCAGGGGGCUGGAGGACACUGUGGAUGUCCAGGGCCAGGGCACGAGGAGCUCCCUGGGGCAUGGAGAGCCAAACAAGAGCUGCCUUGAGGAAAGGCGUGGCGGGUUCUGGGAAGGAGCCCAGUCGGGCUGGGUCCCUCUCUUGGAGGGUUACUAAGGCACAGAUGACUUCCAGCAGCUGGGACUUUCAGAGCACACAGUGCCCACCCGCCACUGCGCUGACCCCCAGCCUUGCAUCCCCAUCCAGUACCUUCGGGCAUGCAGGUGGACUUCGGUGACCGCAGCCCCCCACCCUCAGUGGACCUCCUGCUCCCAGAGAAUCCCAGGCUGCUUCCUGGGCGCUUCAUCCCUGCUCCAGGGUGGCUGUAAUGUGUGCCACAGGUGGGCCAAAGGGCGGCCCAUAGGCGCUGGUAUCGUCAUCCGUGGAUGGCCCGCACACAGGAGGCGUGAGACCUGCAUGCUCAUCCUGGCCCUGCCCUUGGCGCAUGCAGAAUUUAGAGCUGCCUUUCCCCUUGCUGAGCCUCAGUUUGCCUCCUGUAAAAUGGGGAGAAGCCAACACUCACGUGUAGGACUGAGGAGGGGCCUGCGGAAGGUGGAAGGAGAGAACCAGAGAGGGCCCCUCCCUCCCAGGCUUGGCUCCGCCCCCCCCCGCCCCCCGCCGUGUGCCGCCUGGCUGCUCUUCCUCUCUACCGGCCCCAGGCAGGCAGGAGCUCCAGGCUGUGGGAGUCCAAUUGCUUGUACAGCUAAACGGCUGCUGUGGGGUCUCUGAUAGGGCACAGGCUGGACCAUAGGGCUCUGCAGAGUGGCCUCUUCCCCUCCCCUCCCCCCAUCUUUCCCCUUUAGCUUCUUGCCUCUGGUUCCAGUCUUAUCUCCUCUUUUUCCAGUUUGUCUCCUCACCCUCUGUGCUCCCUGCCUAUCUCUCCCUCUCAGCCUGGCCUGAGAUCUCUCUUUCACUUCCACUGUUGUGGGCAUUCUGCUUCCCUUUUCCUCUUUCAUUCUGUCCGUCCGUCUUCUGCUGUCUGUCUGUCUUCUCUCUUCCCUUC